GUAAGUUAGAAGAGGGGCAAGACUUGGGGAGAGGUAGAAAAGAGGGAAAGUCAUAAAAUCUCAGGAUUGCAGAGGGAUUAAUGUUGCCCCCAAGAGGGUAGAAAUUAAUUCUUGA